ACCCCGGGGCAAGUGGGACCUAAAAAAAUGCUAAUUUGGUUUUGUCAUGCUAAAAAUUUCAGAUCACAUUUUUUUUAAUAAUUCCAAUGAACCCAAAAGACGUUGUUGGUAUAUUUGUACUUAUUCACGUGCAUUAAAACUGUUUCAAAAUUUUAAAAUUCCAUAUAUUAUGCAUAUAAUGAAAAGUGUAGCAGAUAUUCAUUUACUGCGUUUCACGGGGCAAGUGGGACCUAUUCAGAGUAUUUGUUCAAAGGGCUUAAUAUAAGUUGCAACAAAUAAGGUAACAUAAAUCAUAAAUCUCUUGUAUGAAUGACUAUCUUUAGAGAUUAAAAUAAGAAGAGGUUUAUGGUAUCGUGCAUAAAUUACGUAACACAUAAAAAAUCGCUGGGGAAAAAAUACUUACAGCUCAUGCAAAAUAAAUUGAUUUUUAUACAAAAAGCGCCGUAAAGUGAAGAGACAAAAGAUUUUGAAACUUGAUCUCUAUAUUAUAUAGUUGAUGAAUCUCGCCAAAAGUAAAUCUGGGGUUUCGAGAUUUUCAGUAAUAUCUUCUCCCUUACAUAAUCUUACGAUCAUUAAAUAAUGUUUUUUUUUAAUCAUCAAUUUUGAAAAGGUCAUUUCCCUAUUUUAUUUUUUUAUGGACGGUUCCUGAAUGCUCAAAAGAAUUCAUUAUGCAGCGUUAAGAGAAAAAAUAAUGGAAGAUAUUUAGAGAAAAACAUAAAAAAUACAUGCUUUUGAUUUUUUUUUAUUUUACCCAAGGUUUUACCAUUUUUAACAAGAGUUUCAUCAUCUAAAUAGAGGUAAUAAAGUAUAAUUCAACAGUAGAUUACUUAACGCGUUAAUUUUUAUUGACUUUCGUGCUAAUUUCAUUUUAGGCUGGACAAGGCAAGAUGAACCCAUACAAUUGUGUUUGUUUAUUCUCAUAGGUCCCACUUACCCCAGAUAGCGAAAUGCACUGGGGCAAGUGAGAGCAGUAAACUAAAGGUAAUAAAUAGAAACAAAAUACAGCUUUUUCGCUUGAAAUCAUUUGCAAGAACUCCAAAUACUAUCCUGAAACCGAAAAAGUAUUUGUAUAAUGACAAAUCUAUUUUUAAACGACGAAUGUAGAAGAGCACGUCAAUCUCACCUAGUGAAUUGAAAAUUACAUAUGAACAACAAUAACGUAUAUGGUCUCUUUAUGGUUGAAACAAUAACAUUUUUUGUACUCAAAGUAUCCGUAGGUGUGAUACCUAUGUUUUCCAUGAAGAAUGUUAGUCUUAAAAAUAAAUAAUAAUAAAAAUACUAGCUAUAGGUCUCACUUGCCCCCGAUUCUCACUUGCCCCGGGGUACCUUACUUACAUUUUGUCCAUACGAUUGUUUAAAAAGCUAUUUACACAACGAAACAAAUGACAAUGCUCUAUUUACACUACGUAUUUACAUUACUUACAAGUAUUUACAGAUUAAAAUUUCAUUUAACAAAGCUACGGUAUAGUACGGUAAAAUCAGGGCUUUGAAAUGUUUCACCGGUUUGUCGGAGUUGUGAUCGUUCUAGUACUACCUAUUUCGAAUUCCAUCCGAACAAUAGUCCAUUGGUGUGCGUUUGUAUUGAGAUGAUUUCGAACUGUCAAACUAUUGAUUGGUGUGAAAUGGAUGAGAACGGUGAUGAUAUGAUCAGCAUAAGGAAUCUCUCUACAACUACUGCCUCCGCAGCAUCGAGACCAGAUGACGUCAUGAAGAUCAAGCAUCCGAAGAGCAUCGCGUACGAAGACUGGAAGGAAUAGCAUCUCUAGACGAUGUAUUAACAGAGGAACUAUGUCCGUGCUACAGACGAACCUUCCUAUAUAGAGUGACCCAGCACUCGUGUGGUCUCACUAUCUCACUUUUGUCUCAUUCAACUGAACGAUGACAGUACGAGUAAUCACCGACUCAGGACGUUUUCUGCACGCCAAUUCGCAAUGGAAUUAGAAUUUAAAAAGAACUAUUUACGAGCUAAAAGUAUCACAGAUUAGAAUUUGAUAACCUAGUAAAUUGAAAAAUGCUAUAAAAUUUAAAAACCUAGUAAAUUUGAAAAUCCUAUUUGCACACGCUUCAAAAGAAGCACACAAAAUUUGUUGUUAAUAAAAAUUAUCGUUCUUUUUGGCCUUUUCAUUUCACACACAUCCGAAAUCACAUCACAACACACUAAAAUUGUUUCAAACAAAAGUAAAAAGUUAAAAAUGACUAGUAUUGAUAUCUAAUGUUCUUUUUUGAACAAUCGUUUGUUUAUGUUCAUUGUGUUUCUGGACAACAAAACCCCUCCGUCGCAAAUGAAAUGAUUUUGCGAACUGUGUAAGAAGAAAGAGUAAGUCCAAAUGUGGUAAGUUAAAUUUGUGAAGGCCUGGAAGUUUUACCAGAGACCUCCGUCGAAACCAGUUUGAUCCAGUGCGAUCUUCCAAACUGACCCUUCCAAAAAACUGUCAAGAAGACGAUUUUAAGUUGGGCGCCAAAGUGUAACUGCCGACUAGCUCAAGAGGGGAGCCUUCCUGAGACUCCCUGAAACAACACCUCAGGGUCGGCAUGCUUCUUGACCAGUUAUUCGCGGGCAGGGAAUAUUCGCACUGUCGUACAUAAAAACUCACGUCACGUUACAUUUACACAUUUAUUCCCGGACUUUCCGGCCUCUUCUUCUCCCUGCACAUUCCCACAUUCUUAAUCUACUCUAACCUGUCUUUUCAUCUAUUAGGGGCCCCUUCUUCUACCUUCCACCUCUCUCCACCACACAGUG